rnacentral:rRNA from 1 species
UCGACCUGAGCCCAGGAAAAU